CAGUCGCCACGGGAAUACGUAGGUGGCAAGCGUUGUCCGGAAUUAUUGGGCGUAAAGGGCUCGCAGGCGGUUUCUUAAGUCUGAUGUGAAAGCCCCCGGCUCAACCGGGGAGGGUCAUUGGAAACUGGGAAACUUGAGUGCAGAAGAGGAGAGUGGAAUUCCACGUGUAGCGGUGAAAUGCGUAGAGAUGUGGAGGAACACCAGUGGCGAAGGCGACUCUCUGGUCUGUAACUGACGCUGAGGAGCGAAAGCGUGGGGAGCGAACAGGAUUAGAUACCCCCGUAGUCCGUCUCUUAUACAC
rnacentral:rRNA from 1 species